AUAAUAUCUGGAAUGAAGCCCAGCUGUUGUUUCAAUUCUGCACCAAGAAAUGAGCAUAACCUCUUCACAAAAAUUUGUUUGUUACAAAAAAGAAGUAAUUUGGCCUUAUCAAUGUGAGCACCUGUUCACCACAGCCCAACGUAAUAAAAUUUGCCUGGCAGUUUUUGUUUCGUUCCCCGCAGGAACGAAACGGUACUGUAUUUGGUUUCGAGCAAUAUCACAGGAAAGUGACGUCAGAGAUCAAAGUUAUCCAAUCCUUUGCCAGUAUUCUUGCUGAAACGUCAAUUACAUUUAGAAUCGUCCAAUGAGAUGACCGCUCCUAGCAUAAGAAGUUUUUUGGAGGCGUGGCGUAUAAUCGGAAAUCUUAGUUAAUUAUAUAUCAACCUAUGAGAACAUGCUAACUUAACCUGAAGUUCAUGCAGGCCCUAAUUUUAAGGGGCGGACCAUUUGACUUUUGAGGGGGGGGGGGAAGAUUUCGAAAAAAAAUUUCCUGCAACCCAAGGAGAAAGAAAAAAAAAAAUCAUGCAGCACACAAUCGAGAAAAAAAAAUAUCAUGCAAAAGAGAGCGCUCAAAAAAAAAUUUUCUACAUGUAACUCUACUGAUGCUCUUCACUUCAGUAUUGUGUCCACAGGCUUGCAAGAUUUUGCAUUUUUGAGCAGGCACAUUUGCUUAAAAGAACACGGGGUGAACAGUGGAUAACAUCACAGGGAUUCUACCGCCUUUGGAGCCUCUGACAUACGAUAGCCAGUGGUGUUCCCUGGCAAAAUUGUUGCCCCCCCCCCUGAGAAAAUCUGUGCUUAAGAUAAGUAU